GGUCCACCAGUGUCAUGUGCUGGGGGACUAAAAUGGCAGCCUUCAUGUCUGUCUCUUGGGCUAGGCCCAUAACUCCAUCCCCACCUAUCCUAUAUCACUGCUAACACAGCAAAAGGGAUUUCUGACUAGGUGUUUGAUUCAAUCCAUUUGGCACAAUGUUACAAAUGAAUGGAUUUCGACAGGAUUAUAUCACGUACUUUGAGGCUUGUGUGAAAAUACUGUGACAGCUGACCGUGGCACCACAAAGAAGAACAGCCUUGCCAGAGAGAUUCUGUAAUAAGAUGAGUGUCCUGGGUUCAUUCUACUAGCACUAUGUGACUGGCUUCUUUAUAUUCAUACUGGAGGUUUUACUUCUUAUCAUGGCCUUAUAUCAAGGAUAUUUCAAGGAAGCCAUUCUUCCAAUAAUCAAGACAUAGAAUCCAGAAUCUGUCAAAGUUAGUAUGCAAGCAAUAACUCGGAACCAUCUAAGUAGUUCUGUAGCAGAAUGGAUCUCUCUGUGCUGUAGCAGAAUUCAAAUGGAGACCAGUGAGAGGUCUGAGAGUGCAUGCUUUGCACUGUUUGUGAGCUUCUCAUUAAUUCUAGCAAGCACAUUUGAAGAAAGGAAGUUUAUUAUUUUGUGUGACACAUCAAACCUGCCCAAUUAGAGACUCUCCCUCUGAUAUGACCAGCUCUAUCUGAUAUGACCAACUCUUCUGUCAAAACAACAACAACCGUAACCUUGGCUAAUACAUUAACAAGUAUUGUAAAAUUCUAUUUCUGACUCCUGGGAUAACCUACAUGUUAUAUUCAGAAAUGUGCUUAAGACUAGAAGUGCUUUUUCUUUAAUAAAAUGCAACCACUGGG